UAGAAGAAUUAAAGAGGUCUCUCGGUCAUGUAAAAGAGGAAUAUUUAGGCAAGAGAUAUUUUGGAUAAGACGAAGCACAAGGGUUGAUCUGCAGAAGACGGUUCAGGGGGAAUUAAAGCACUUUCUUUCGGGACCAUCGGAAUAAGAAUGAAUAGAUAGAUGCAGAACGGACGGUCUCCGGGGAUAAGAAGUGGGGAGGCCGCGAAGUUGCGGCUUCUCUCGUCAUAGUGAGUGGUC
rnacentral:lncRNA from 1 species